CAAGUCGAACGAAGCACUUUAGUUUGAUUUCUUCGGAAUGAAGACUUUAGUGACUGAGUGGCGAACGGGUGAGUAACACGUGGAUGACCUACCCUGAAGUGGGGGAUAACCUUGGGAAACCAGGACUAAUCCCGCAUGUGCUUGUUGGUUGUGACCAAUAAGGAAAGAUUUAUCGCUUUAGGAUGGGUCCGCGGGCCAUCAGCUAGUUGGUGAGGUAAAGGCUCACCAAGGCAACGACGGCUAGCCGGCCUGAGAGGGUGAACGGCCACAGGGGUACUGAGACACGGACCCCACUCCUACGGGAGGCAGCAGUUAGGAAUCUUCCACAAUGGGCGCAAGCCUGAUGGAGCGACACUGCGUGAGGGAAGAAGGCUUUCGGGUUGUAAACCUCUAAAAGUAGGACGAUAAUGACGGUACUACUUGAGAAGCACCGGCUAACUCCGUGCCAGCAGCCGCGGUAAUACGGAGGGUGCAAACGUUAUCCGGAAUCACUGGGCGUAAAGGGCACGCAGGCGGUUAGUUAAGUCUGAUGUUAAAGCGUGGGGCUCAACCCCAUACGGGCGUUGGAUACUGGCUAACUAGACUCUUGGAGAGGUAAGUAGAAUUACCAGUGUAGCGGUGGAAUGCGUAGAUCCUGGUAGGAAUACCAAUAGCGAAGGCAGCUUACUAGACAAUGAGUGACGCUGAGGUGCGAAAGUGUGGGGAGCGAACCGGAUUAGAUACCCGGGUAGUCCACACCCUUAACGAUGCAGUACUUGGUGUUGGUGCGCAGGCAUCAGCGCCGGAUCAAACGCGUUAAGUAUGCCGCCUGGGAAGUACGUCCGCAAGGUUGAAACUCAAAGGAAUUGACAGGGGACCCGUAUCAAGCGGUGGAGCCAUGUGGUUUAAUUCGAAGCAACGCGAAGAACCUUACCAGGUCUUGACAUCCUUGGAAUCACUUAGAGAUGAGUGAGUGUCCUUCGGGAA
rnacentral:rRNA from 1 species